ACCCGCCCACUGACCAAAACCCUGCCAAGAGCCUGUAAAACUCCCUGUGCAGUCAGCCGUGGGAAUGGGUUUAUUAAUCUGAAAAGGCCAUCACUUUGCAUCUGAAAAGGCAUCAGCAUUUGCAUCUGAACCACAUGGGGUGUGAUUCACUGUAGGCUGCUCAAAUGUCUAACUGCAGCAUUUUCAAGAAGAGGCCUGUAAACACCCAUCUCAAACUUCACAUAAACCCGGCUUUCUCUCUGCACCGGCUGCCAGUGCAGAUGCAUCUGAACCAGGGUGAUGGCCUUUUCAGAUUAAUAAACCCAUUCCCACGGCUGACGCACAGGGAGUUUUACAGGCUCUUGGCAGGGUUUUGGUCAGUGGUCAGUGGGCGGGUUGGGAGGAGUUCCUGUCCCAUGCUUUUCUUUGCUUUUGCUGAGCUCCAGGCCCUGCGCUGUGACCCAGUGGUGCAGGAAGGCAUGUGGCUCCCACAGGGGCUGCCGCCCCCACUCAGAGGAGCCUGUGGGUCUCCUCGGACUGCCCUGUGAAUCCUCUACCCAGAUGCUACAGACAGGAACGCUUUCCAUGCGGGAAACCAUCUGCUCCACCAACCUCAUGCCCUGGACAGCAGCAGAGGUGGCAGGUGGCGCAGGAAACUCCCAUCUCAUUCAGCCUCCUCAAAAGCACUGGGAACACUGCACUUUCUGGGGUUUCUCAGAGGCGGUUGUGAGACUCCAGGGGAGCCUGGCCCAGGGGCUCUGGUGAGGUCAGAGUGGCUAUGGGUCAGAGCCACAGGGGAAAGGGCCUCUGUCCCCGAGACUCACCUGGCUGUGACACUCCCACUCCUGUUCUGUGUGGGCCCAGAUGCCCCGAGACCUCAGCUCCUGGGUAGAUUCUUCUCCUCCGGCCACAGCCGGCCUAAGCCAGCCCUGUGAGUGGCAGAGCCUCUGCUGAGGCCAGGGCCCAAUGCCCCUGCAGGAAUCCCCCGUCAGGGCAGAACAAGCGAGACCAUGCGUUUUCUUGGGCAGAGCAGACACCAUGGGCUCAGUUUACUUUUGCUAGUAUAAAAGAUCACCACAGACUCAGUGGACAAACAGACACAUACACACUCGUCCCUGUGCAAUGGACUGGAGUCUGCUCUCCCUCAGGCCCUCCCGUCCUCUCCAACUCAAAUCUGCCUGUGUCUCCUCAUGUCUCCUGGCUCAGUCAUGCUGAGAGCAGCCUCAGUACCAGCCAGUGGAUAUGAAUAUCUCCCCAUCUGCAUAUAGAAUAAAACAGUCCCGGACUCCAGGGCUGGGCAUGUG